UACAGAGGGGGCAAGCGUUAUUCGGAAUUAUUGGGCGUAAAGGGCGCGUAGGCGGCCUGGCCAGUGGAAGGUGAAAUCCCUCGGCUUAACCGAGGAACUGCCCUCCAAACUGCUUGGCUUGAGUCCGGGAGAGGUGAGUGGAAUUCCCAGUGUAGCGGUGAAAUGCGUAGAUAUUGGGAGGAACACCAGUGGCGAAGGCGGCUCACUGGACCGGAACUGACGCUGAGGCGCGAAAGCGUGGGGAGCAAACGGG
rnacentral:rRNA from 1 species